AUUUAAAACUCUGGGUCAGUGUGUGGUUCUUGGUUGCCCCUGGAUUCUGGGUUUCUUCAUUAAUGGCAAUGAGGUGCUGGAGAUCAUCUUUCUGAUCUUGAACUCCCAGCAGGGAACCUUCAUCUUCCUGAUCUACUGUGUCCUCAAUAAUGAGGUCAGGCAGCAGUACAGGAAGUUCUUCAGAUGUCUUUGCGGUGGAC